GACGAACGCUGGCGGCGUGCUUAACACAUGCAAGUCGAGCGGUAAGGCCCUUUCGGGGGUACACGAGCGGCGAACGGGUGAGUAACACGUGGGUGACCUGCCCUCAGCUCUGGGAUAAGCCCGGGAAACUGGGUCUAAUACCGGAUAUGACUCCACGGUGCAUGUCGUGGGGUGGAAAGCCUUGUGCGGCUGAGGAUGGGCCCGCGGCCUAUCAGCUUGUUGGUGGGGUGAUGGCCUACCAAGGCGACGACGGGUAGCCGGCCUGAGAGGGCGACCGGCCACACUGGGACUGAGACACGGCCCAGACUCCUACGGGAGGCAGCAGUGGGGAAUAUUGGACAAUGGGCGCAAGCCUGAUCCAGCCAUGCCGCGUGAGUGAUGAAGGCCUUAGGGUUGUAAAGCUCUUUCAGUGGGGAAGAUAAUGACGUACCCACAGAAGAAGCCCCGGCUAACUUCGUGCCAGCAGCCGCCGU
rnacentral:rRNA from 1 species